rnacentral:rRNA from 1 species
AUACGGAGGGUGCAAGCGUUACUCGGAAUCACUGGGCGUAAAGCGCGCGCAGGCGGGCUGAUAAGUUGGAUGUGAAAGCCUACGGCUCAACCGUAGAACUGCAUCCAAAACUGUCAGUCUAGAGUCUGGGAGGGGAAGAUGGAAUUAGUUGUGUAGGGGUAAAAUCCGUAGAGAUAACUAGGAAUACCAAAAGCGAAGGCGAUCUUCUGGAACAGUCCUGACGCUGAGGCGCGAAAGCGUGGGGAGCAAACAGGAUUAGAAACCCUAGUAGUCC